AAAUAACAAGGCGUGAGAUAUAUAUUGCGAGGUACUGUAUAGAGAAAGUGCUUCGGCUACCCGGACAGCUCCAAGGAUUGCUGUCAGUCUUGUGCUCCAGGAACCAGGCCAAUUCAGUCGUCAGUGGAGGGUGCCGUGCCUGGCCCUCGUUCCCUAUGGACACCACCGGAGCCGGGAUGGCUGAAGCUCAACUCCGAUGCGAGUUUUGUUGAGCAGACGAGGGAGGCGUGGUGGGGCGGGGUUCUUAGAGACUCGCUCGGCAGUAUUGUUGCGUCUGUCUGGGUCGUAUUGACGGAUGCAAUUCAGCUCUGGAGGUUGAAGCCUGCAAGCGUGGUAUGGAGGUGUUGUUUCGCAACCCUGCUGAGAAGUUGUGCCUGAAAAUGAACUGUAAGGAGCUUCUGGCUGGUUUGACCUUGGAUAAGGGCGACCGCUCGGCGUCUUGUUUCCUCCUACAGGAAAUUAAGGGUUUACUUCGUAACUGCUACGAUUUUAAGAUUGGAUGGAUUGGUCGUGAUGGAAAUCGGAUGGCCCAUGACCUGGCUAGCUUUGCUAGAAUUUCCGAAACCUCUGACUUACUUGUUGGUUCCAUUCCCGGGCCUGUCCGGGAGUUAAACCCUAUGCUCUGUAAUCCCGUCACUAUGUCUAGUUGAUCGAUUGUUUACCCUAAAAAAAGAGAAAGUGGGGAAGACAAAAGUAAAGGAGAACGGACUAUGUGACCAACCUGCUACUGUCAUUUAGCAUGUGCACAUAUGUGUCAAUUACAAUUAAUGUGUGUAGCUAAUUAGUAUAAGACCGAUCUGAUAUUUAAGUCAUCGUUACUUUGACGCACUGCGCUACGUUAGGAAUGUCCUUUAACAAGAAUAAAGGUGAUGGAUUGUCAUUUUUGUUCCUUUUUUUUUUGACUCGUGAACGAUUCGGGUGUUAGUUCAGCAGUCAGCAAAUUUCAUCAUUGCUAAUUGAGUGCAUCUAUUCCUCGUAUGUUCUUUGCCCACUAUCCGAACCUGGAUUUUUAACACCUAGUGGGAUGUCGAACUAACGUGUAAAAUGCAAUUCUAUUUAAAUGUUAUACUCCUCUGAUUUGGUGUUAUUUGUACAAGCCCGAGAUUUUUCUAUUGCACAUAAUGUUAAUAAAUAAAACUCUCUAACUAAAACAUGUAAUGAUACCUAAUCUACAAAACAGUAAAUAACUAUACAUUUGGUUAGGUACUCAUAAAAGAAUAACAAAUCAUUGAACACUUCCAAAUAUAAGACAUCUAAAUUGCAUACAAAAUGAAUUUAUUAUAAAAAUAUAAUUUCAUUAUACAAAUCUAGCCGUGCAAUCUGCACGGGUUACCUCCCGCUAGUUUAUUAUGAAUCGAAGGGAGUAGUAAAAUGCACAUUUCAUGCUGUGGUUCUGCGGUUCAUGGCGAUUGUUUUUUAGCGGAAAAGUACUUGGAAAUCUAGAAGAAAAAAAACUGCUACUAAGACCUGUGAGUCCCUUUUCUUAAAGAUGUUCACCAUAUAUAUAUUCUUUGUUAGUAAAUCGCCCCUUCGACAUUCAUGCCCAGUAUCUGUGCUCACGAUCGAACCAAAACAAGCGGGUCAAAAAGUAAUCGACUUUUCAAGAAAAGAAACACGACUUCAAAAUUCCACCAUAAAAAGAAAACAUAGUACUACUGCUGGUGCAAAAAUAAAUAAGUAAAGAAAACAUAGUACUCACCUGCAGACAAUAUAUGACAUCAUGUCAUGUCAGUUUCCCCGGCCUCACAUAUACUCUAGAUGUUAUAGCACGCGGCUCCAUCGUUCAC
rnacentral:lncRNA from 1 species